rnacentral:lncRNA from 1 species
GAAAACAUGAUCGAACUGUUUGUUAACGACAUCCAUAAAUCCUAGGAGAUCCACUCGGAGAUAACUCACUUCUCCUCUGAUGAAAAUAAUAAAAAUUAAAACAACUAAAAAGAAAAUAAUAAGAUUAACGGUUGUGGAUUUCCUUCCACGUAGCGCUUCGUUUAGCGUCGGGAGCUCGACUACCGAACUUGUAACUUGGUUAGAUAAUUAGUUUUCCAAUGCCAUUUAUCGAGCCAUC